UAAUGUGAAUUGCACAAUUCAGNGAAUCAUCGAAUCUUUGAACGCACCUUGCGCUCCUUGGUAUUCCGAGGAGCAUGCCUGUUUGAGUGUCAUUAAAUUCUCAACCUU
rnacentral:rRNA from 1 species